GAGGAUGGUCGGCUAUAGUUUAUUCCUGGCCCUCGUACAUCAUAAUGCUGGGGGGAAAAUGGCGAACGGGUGAGUAACACGUGAGUAACCUGCCCUUAACUCUGGGAUAAGCCUGGGAAACUGGGUCUAAUACCGGAUAUGACUCCUCAUCGCAUGGUGGGGGGUGGAAAGCUUUUUGUGGUUUUGGAUGGACUCGCGGCCUAUCAGCUUGUUGGUGAGGUAAUGGCUCACCAAGGCGACGACGGGUAGCCGGCCUGAGAGGGUGACCGGCCACACUGGGACUGAGACACGGCCCAGACUCCUACGGGAGGCAGCAGUGGGGAAUAUUGCACAAUGGGCGCAAGCCUGAUGCAGCGACGCCGCGUGAGGGAUGACGGCCUUCGGGUUGUAAACCUCUUUCAGUAGGGAAGAAGCGAAAGUGACGGUACCUGCAGAAGAAGCGCCGGCUAACUACGUGCCAGCAGCCGCGGUAAUACGUAGGGCGCAAGCGUUAUCCGGAAUUAUUGGGCGUAAAGAGCUCGUAGGCGGUUUGUCGCGUCUGCCGUGAAAGUCCGGGGCUCAACUCCGGAUCUGCGGUGGGUACGGGCAGACUAGAGUGAUGUAGGGGAGACUGGAAUUCCUGGUGUAGCGGUGAAAUGCGCAGAUAUCAGGAGGAACACCGAUGGCGAAGGCAGGUCUCUGGGCAUCAACUGACGCUGAGGAGCGAAAGCAUGGGGAGCGAACAGGAUUAGAUACCCUGGUAGUCCAUGCCGUAAACGUUGGGCACUAGGUGUGGGGGGACAUUCCACGUUUUCCGCGCCGUAGCUAACGCAUUAAGUGCCCCGCCUGGGGAGUACGGCCGCAAGGCUAAAACUCAAAGGAAUUGACGGUGGGCCCGCACAAGCUGUCGGAGCAUGACGGAUUAAAUUCGGAUGCAACGGCGUAGAUAACCUUACCAUAGGCUUCGACAUGGGGCGGACGGGGCUGGGUAAUCAGUCCUUCCCCUUUUGGGGGCAGGUCACAGGGUGGGUGCAUGGGUGGUCGUCAGCUCGUGGUCGUGCACAUGCUGGGGUGAGUAGCCGCAACGAGCGCGAGGCUCGUCAUGCUUGCAGGCGCGUAAUGGACGGGGGAGCUCAUGCGGUGAACUGACAUGGUCACUAUGCACGGUGGGUACGACGGAUCGUCAAUCAUGGC
rnacentral:rRNA from 1 species